NNNNNNNNNNNNNNNNNNNNNNNNNNNNNNNNNNNNNNNNNNNNNNNNNNNNNACGAGUCGGGUUGUUUGGGAAUGCAGCCCUAAUUUGGAGGUAAAUCCCUUCUAAGGCUAAAUACUGCUGAGAGACCGAUAGCGAACAAGUACCGUGAGGGAAAGAUGAAAAGAACUUUGAAAAGAGAGUUAAAAGUGCUUGAAAUUGUUGAGAGGGAAGCGAUUAGCGCUUGUGUGUGCCNCCAGGCUUAAGUGUGCCUAACGGCCCAUUGAAUGUGCUGGGUGCUGGUCAGAGUGGGUUGUCUUGGCGGGAAAACAGUUGGGUCCACCCCGGUAACCCGGCCGAUGCCGCCGAGAUGACCAAGGCGUGAAGGUUGCUUUGUCCUUCGGGAUCCGCAUCCUAAAGACUCUGGCAGAAAAGCGUUAAUCGACCCGUCUUGAAACACGGACCAAGGAGUCUAACAUGUAUGCGAGUUGGCGGGUUGAAAACCCGUAAGCGCAAGUAACCUGACUGGUGGGAUGGCCUGUGCCUGCACCAUCGACCGACCAUGUUGCUUUUGCGAAAGGUUUGAGUGCGAGCAUACCUGUUGGGACCCGAAAGAUGGUGAACUAUGCCUGAGCAGGGUGAAGCCAGAGUAACCUCUGGUGGAGGCUCGUAGAUGUGCUGACGUGCAAAUCGCUUUUCAGACUUGGGUAUAGGGGCGAAAGACUAAUCGAACCAUCUAGUAGCUGGUUCCCUCCGAAGUUUCCCCCAGGAUAGCUGGAGCUUGAUCAGUUUUAUCGGGUAAAGCGAAUGAUUAGAGGUUCGGGGGAUGAAACAUCCUUCACCUAUUCUCAAACUUUAAAUAGGUAAGACGUGUCGGUUGCUUAACUGAACCGUCACAUUCAAUGUGAGCUCCAAGUGGGCCAUUUUUGGUAAGCAGAACUGGCGAUGCGGGAUGAACCGAUAGUCGAGUUAAGGUGCCAAACUGCGCGCUAACCUAGAUCCCACAAAGGGUGUUGAUUGAUAUAAACAGCAGGACGGUGGUCAUGGAAGUCGAAAUCCGCUAAGGAGUGUGUAACAACUCACCUGCCGAAUCAAUAGCCCCGAAAAUGGAUG
rnacentral:ncRNA from 1 species